GACGAACGCUGGCGGCGUGCUUAACACAUGCAAGUCGUGCGGAAAGGCCCUUUCGGGGGUAUACGCGCGGCGAACGGGUGAGUAACACGUGAGCAACCUGCCCUUCUCUCUGGGAUAACUGCCGGAAACGGUGGCUAAUAUCGGAUAUGACUUCCUCACGCAUGUGGGGUGGUGGAAAGCCUUCGGGCGGUGGGGGAUGGGCUCGCGGUCUAUCAGCUUGUUGGUGGGGUGAUGGCCUACCAAGGCUUCGACGGGUAGCCGGCCUGAGAGGGUGGCCGGCCACAUUGGGACUGAGAUACGGCCCAGACUCCUACGGGAGGCAGCAGUGGGGAAUAUUGCACAAUGGGCGAAAGCCUGAUCCAGCAACGCCGCGUGGGGGAUGACGGCCUUCGGGUUGUAAACCUCUUUCGCCUGCGACGAAGCGAGGGUGACGGUAGCAGGUAAAGAAGCACCGGCCAACUACGUG
rnacentral:rRNA from 1 species